ACGGAGGGUGCGAGCGUUGUCCGGAAUCAUUGGGCGUAAAGGGCGCGUAGGUGGCCCGGUCAGUCUUUGGUGAAAGCGCGGGGCUCAACCCUGCGUCGGCCAGGGAUACUGCCGCGGCUGGAGCACUGUAGAGGCAGGCGGAAUUCCGGGUGUAGCGGUGGAAUGCGUAGAGAUCCGGAAGAACACCGAUGGCGAAGGCAGCCUCCUGGGCCAGCACUGACGCUCAUGCACGAAAGCGUGGGGAGCAAACAGGA
rnacentral:rRNA from 1 species